rnacentral:rRNA from 1 species
AACGAACGCUGGCGGCGUGGCUAAGGCAUGCAAGUCGAACGGACCAGGUGGAAGGCAACGGAAGCCUGGUUAGUGGCGGACGGGUGAGUAAUGCAUGGACAAUGUACCCUGGACACGGGGAUAGCGGCGGAGGACUUCGGUCUCCUUUGCGAAAGUGCCGGUAAUACCUGAUAAUACCGUAUGGUCGCAUGGCUGUGCGGUCAAAGCUCCGGCGGUCUGGGAUCGGUCCANGUCCUAUCAGCUGGUUGGUGGGUAACGGCCUACCAAGGCAUCGACGGGUAGC